rnacentral:lncRNA from 1 species
UGCCGUUUUGGCGGUGUUGUGAUUGAUUAUUCGCGCUGCGUUGUUGAGCUGAAGGAUUUUAACAUGCUGAUGAAUUCAAAAACUGCAAUAAUGAAAUGAUGUUUGUGUGAAGCCAACAUGAUGCCAAGGAUCGGCCUGCCCUGCCUGAGCGGAGCGCUGGCGCAGUGGGCGCAGCAGCUGUGCCAGCGCUGGGCCGCCGGCUGGACGCUGGCCGUCAGCGUGGUGACGCUGGCGCUCUGCUCGCUGGUGGUGCUCACGCAGGCGCUGGCCGCCGUCGGCACCUACCAAGGUUUGGCGCGACGCUCGAGCCCGGGGCCUCCGGUCUUCUGUCUGGAUAGCAGCUCUCGGUUGUACUCGCUGUGGUGGGAGCAUAAUAUAUCAGCGUCUGGACACGGAACAAUACCCCGUGCGCAAGUAAAAAAAGAUGCAAUCUGCUUAUGAUAUUUGCAGUUUGCCGCGCAUUUC